rnacentral:rRNA from 1 species
ACGAACGCUGGCGGCGUGGAUAAGACAUGCAAGUCGAACGCUGAUUUCAGGGUAGCAAUAUUCUGGAGUCGGAGUGGCGCAAGGGUGCGUAACACGUGGGUAAUUUGCCGUGAAGCCUGGGAUAACUUGCUGAAAGGCGAGCUAAUACCGGAUGUGAUUAUCGGGAGGCAUCUCCUGAACCUUAAAGUUGGGGACCGUAAGGCCUGACACUUCACGAUAAGCCCGCGGCCUAUCAGCUAGUUGGUGAGGUAACGGCUCACCAAGGCUAAGACGGGUAGCUGGUCUGAGAGGACGACCAGCCACACUGGAACUGAGACACGGUCCAGACACCUACGGGUGGCAGCAGUCGAGAAUUUUUCACAAUGGGCGAAAGCCUGAUGGAGCGACGCCGCGUGGGGGAUGAAUGGCUUCGGCCCCGUAAACCCCUGUCAUCUGGGAACAAUUCUCAUCCGAUAACACCGGGUGAGUUGAUAGUACCGGAAGAGGAAGGGACGGCGUAACUCU